AUACGUAGGUGGCGAGCGUUAUCCGGAUUUAUUGGGCGUAAAGCGUCCGCAGCAGGUUUAUUAAGUCUAAAAUAAAAGCCUGGAGCUCAACUCCAGUUCGUUUUAGAAACUGAUAGGCUAGAGUGUGGUAGAGGCAAACGGAAUUUCUAGUGUAGCGGUAAAAUGCGUAGAUAUUAGAAGGAACACCAGUGGCGAAGGCGGUUUGCUAGGCCACUACUGACGGUCAUGGACGAAAGCGUGGGGAGCAAAUAGGAUUAGAUACCCUAGUAGUCCACGCUGUAAACGAUGAGUACUAAGUGUCGGGUUACCGGUGCUGAAGUUAACACAUUAAGUACUCCGCCUGAGUAGUACGGUCGCAAGGCUGAA
rnacentral:rRNA from 1 species